rnacentral:rRNA from 1 species
UGCUGCAUGGCUGUCGUCAGCUCGUGCCGUGAGGUGUUAGGUUAAGUCCUGCAACGAGCGCAACCCUCGUCGCUAGUUAUUUUCUCUAGCGAUACUGCCCGUAUAACGUGGAGGAAGGUGGGGAUGACGUCAAGUCAGCAUGGCCCUUACAUCCUGGGCUACACACACGCUACAAUGGGUGAUACAACAGGUUGCAAUAGAGCGAUCUGGAGCCAAUCCAAAAAAUCCGGUCUCAGUUCGGAUUGCAGGCUGCAAUUCGCCUGCAUGAAGUCGGAAUCGCUAGUAAUCGCGAAUCAGCAGGUCGCGGUGAAUACGUUCCCGGGCCUU